rnacentral:rRNA from 1 species
AACGAACGCUGGCGGCAGGCCUAACACAUGCCAGUCGAGCGAGAUCUUCGGGUCUAGCGGCGGACGGGUGAGUAACGCGUGGGAAUAUGCCCUUCUCUGCGGAAUAGCCUCGGGAAACUGAGCGUAAUACCGCAUACGCCCUUUGGGGGAAAGAUUUAUCGGAGAAGGAUUAGCCCGCGUUGGAUUAGGUAGUUGGUGGGGUAACGGCCUACCAAGCCGACGAUCCAUAGCUGGUUUGAGAGGAUGAUCAGCCACACUGGGACUGAGACACGGCCCAGACUCCUACGGGAGGCAGCAGUGGGGAAUCUUAGACAAUGGGGGCAACCCUGAUCUAGCCAUGCCGCGUGAGUGAUGAAGGCCUUAGGGUUGUAAAGCUCUUUCAGCUGGGAAGAUAAUGACGGUACCAGCAGAAGAAGCCCCGGCUAACUCCGU